GAUGCCAUUCUCAUACAUUUUGAUAUUAUACAUUAAUUUCUUGAAGGCUUGGUGUACAUCCAUGGAUAAAUACCUUCCGAGUUUGUUUGUCCUUGCAAAUGACCUUUCUGCAGAAGUGCUGAAAUUGGUCAAUAGCUUUUUUUUUUUUUCUUCUUGUACUCUUGUUUUUAAUUAUAAUUCUGUCUUUUGCUUGGGAUGCUCAAAUCUGGUGUAAGCAUUUCCUAAUUUUGCUUGUAAUUUCCUAUAACUGCAAGUCUAUAAAAGCUUGGUAUGAGUCAUUUUUCAUUUCUGAUUUUCCGGUUUUGGGAUUGAUUUAGAAGAUGUAGUAUUAGAAUUAGACAUUUUUUUUUAUCUAGUCCUUGACGUUAAUGGUUCUUGGGUUUUUUCUGUCACGAGACCAAAAAAUUGCUGGGAAUUGCUAGUAUAUGUAUUAACUAGAAUACUAUGAAAAGAACUGUUUCUGUUGACUUUUAACAAGAGUUACAUAAAAAUUUUUCCUUUUUUUGUUGAGCUGUUUGGUGUCCUAUUGAUUACAUAUGGCUCUUAUGGGUCUCGUGCUGAGAAUAUUGGAUGCUAACAAGUGGGUGCAAGAGGCUACUUGUUUGGCUUUUGCAGUGCUUGAAGAGGUUGUUAUAAACUUGCUACACUACUUGCUGUAUUUUGGAUUAAAUCCUUAUAUAUUUCAGCAAUUGUUUAAUUCAUUUGAAUUAAACAUAUUUUUUAUCUAGUCGUUGAUGUUAAUGGUUCUAGGUUUUUUUCUAUCACGAGAUUAUAAACUCGCUGGACACUGCUAAUAUAUGUAUUAAGUAGAAUACUACAAUGAUACCUGUUUCCGUCUCCUACAAAAUUUUUAGUAUUUUGUUUUAGUGAAUGAAUUAUUGAAGUCAUAUCAUUUUUUUUAAGCUUGAGCAUUUUUAGAUCAAUGUUUUUUGCCUAAUGAUCAGGCUUGUGCAGCAUUUGGUCAGCUAAUUGAAGUCCGCCCAUCUUUUCUGGAGAUUUUGUUGUCAAACAUGGUUUAUGCUGAUGACCAAUAAGUCACUUGUUGAUGCUGAGGUUAUGUCUUUUCAACUUCUGCUUUGAGGUUAUCUGAAUUGGCGAUUAUAAUUGAUAAUUUAUUUGACGUCAAUUCAUUUUUGUAGGAAGAUAAGUCUCUUCUAGACAUGCAUCAGGUUAUUGUAAUUUUUUUUUGACAUUGUGCUCCUACUUUUGUGAAAUUUGUCUCAUGUUAGCAUUUUAUUUUGCUGUAUGUGGUUUCUAAUAGAUUCUCUCAUUAUAUUUCCUCUUCAAGAUCUAAAACCUUGAUUCCAUAUGUCGUGAUUUCCUGGUUCUGAUGAUGCAGAAGAUGAUGCAAGUAUUUUUUUUCUUUGCCAGUCAAUCAGAGUGAACUAACAUAGAUGAUGACUCAUUCAACAUAUGGAACUUAUGAAAAUGCAGUGGAGCAGCUCAUGAUGUUCUAUCAAAUGUGUUCGGGGAUGAAAUUCUUCCUAUUUUGAUCGCCUAUUAUUCCAGUAACUUAUCUAUGGGGGAUGUAAAAUUUUGAUCAUUAGAAAUUGUAUCUGUUUUAUUGUUUCUAUUUAUGUUUCUUGGCUUCCAAUUCGUAUGUUGCAUUAUAAAUUCAUCACUUCAUCUUGCCCUAAAGAUGUUAAACUAAUCAAACAUCAUAUUGUUUCAUGCUGCAGAAUCUACAAACUUAAUUCAUUUACUAUGAUAUAUAUAUAUAUAUCAUAUGCUUGUUUACAUUUUUAUGGAGAAAAUAAUGUUUUAAACUGAAUUUCCAUUGGUU